rnacentral:tRNA from 1 species
GCCGCCAGCGGCUGGUCGGUGAACAGCCUGUCCACCUGCGACAGGUGAGCCAGUUCCACCAUGGCCUGGCGGUG